rnacentral:lncRNA from 1 species
GCUGGAGAAGAAUGACUUUGAGCUCAUUACACUUCAGAAGAUACCUUAUACUGCUGCUUGUAAAAGCUUAUUACAGAUUUAGAUUCGCUGCUCUUCGUUCUUUUUUGGAUCCAGUUUAUAUUUUCUUGCGACUGCUACGCUAAUUUUUCCCGUACAAUAUAUAUUUUAAGCAAGUGUGGAUUCUUCAUAAGAUAUAAGGUAUAGAGUCUGAUCGCUCUUAAAGAAGGAAAAUAAGCUUGAUAACAUCUAGGUAGAACCUAACAAACUUGUUACAAAUGAUAUUGAUGUACCUUGUCUAACUGUGACGAACAAUUAUGGAUUGAUGUUUGCGUUCACGCAGUUUGCAUUCAUGUAAUGUAACGUAAUUAUUCAAAAGAAAAUGAAAAAAAAAGAAUCACAUUUUCAGCUUUGCAUUAUGCAUCUAGG